rnacentral:rRNA from 1 species
UACAGAGGAGCCAAGCGUUGUCCGGAAUCACUGGGCGUAAAGCGCACGUAGGCGGAUUGCUAAGUCAGGGGUGAAAUCCUGGAGCUCAACUCCAGAACUGCCUUUGAUACUGGCGAUCUUGAGUCCGGGAGAGGUGAGUGGAACUGCGAGUGUAGAGGUGAAAUUCGUAGAUAUUCGCAAGAACACCAGUGGCGAAGGCGGCUCACUGGCCCGGUACUGACGCUGAGGUGCGAAAGCGUGGGGAGCAAACAGG